ACGGGUGCGUAACACGUGGGCAAUCUGCCCUUUGAUGGGGAAUAACCCGCCGAAAGGCGGGCUAAUUCCGCAUAAGAUUCCCGGGACCUCGGUCCUGGGAUUGAAAGCAGCAAUGCGUCGAAGGAGGAGCCCGCGCCCGAUUAGCUAGUUGGUGAGGUAAUGGCUCACCAAGGCUUUGAUCGGUAGCUGGUCUGAGAGGAUGAUCAGCCACACUGGAACUGAGACACGGUCCAGACUCCUGCGGGAGGCAGCAGUGGGGAAUCUUGCACAAUGGGCGAAAGCCUGAUGCAGCGACGCCGCGUGGGGGAUGAAGCACUUCGGUGUGUAAACCCCUUUCGACUGGGAAGAAUGCCUCGCAAGAGGAGUGACGGUACCAGUAGAAGAAGCCCCGGCUAACUACGUGCCAGCAGCCGCGG
rnacentral:rRNA from 1 species